GUGUGGCCUCUGAAGAUUCCCAGUAAGGACUGUUGUGUGGCCUCUGAAGUCUCCCAGUAAGGACUGUUGUGUGGCCUCUGAAGAUUCCCACAGGGCGUGUGACUCACAUCACCAGCAGAUUCCGUGGAAAAUUAAAAUGGUGAAAUUAAAGUGAGUGGUGGUCUCAAA